GUUGGCACACUAAUCUCUGGGAUGCAGAC
rnacentral:piRNA from 1 species